rnacentral:RNase_P_RNA from 1 species
CGAGCUCGCCAGACAGUCGCCGCCGGUUUUCCGGGGGAGGAAAGUCCGGGCUCCACAGGGCAAGGUGCCAGGUAACGCCUGGGGGGCGUGAGCCCACGACCAGUGCAGCAGAGAGUAAACCGCCGAUGGCCGCUUUUGCGGAUCAGGUAAGGGUGAAAGGGUGCGGUAAGAGCGCACCGC